rnacentral:rRNA from 1 species
GAUGAACGCUGGCGGCGUGCCUAAUACAUGCAUGUCGAGCGAACGGACGAGAAGCUUGCUUCUCUGAUGUUAGCGGCGGACGGGUGAGUAACACGUGGAUAACCUACCUAUAAGACUGGGAUAACUUCGGGAAACCGGAGCUAAUACCGGAUAAUAUUUUGAACCGCAUGGUUCAAAAGUAAAAGACGGUCUUGCUGUCACUUAUAGAUGGAUCCGCGCUGCAUUAGCUAGUUGGUAAGGUAACGGCUUACCAAGGCAACGAUGCAUAGCCGACCUGAGAGGGUGAUCGGCCACACUGGAACUGAGACACGGUCCAGACUCCUACGGGAGGCAGCAGUAGGGAAUCUUCCGCAAUGGGCGAAAGCCUGACGGAGCAACGCCGCGUGAGUGAUGAAGGUCUUCGGAUCGUAAAACUCUGUUAUUAGGGAAGAACAUAUGUGUAAGUAACUGUGCACAUCUUGACGGUACCUAAUCAGAAAGCCACGGCUAACUACGUG